UUUAAUUCCUCAGCACGCAGCCAGUCAGCCCCCCCCCCCUUCCCCUCACCCAACCCAGACUGCCAGAGGGGAGGUGGGGAAGGGUGCUCCGUGGGGAGAAGAAUGGACCUUAUGGGAGUGGGGGCAACAAAGGAUACUGCAGCCGCUGAGCCUGCCUCACCUCACGCAGGGGGAGAGAGUCACACUCACAGCUGGUGGAUUAUCAUCAGGAAUGUUGAAAUGCUAACAGUGAUCCUGGGAGACCCAGUCUACCCCUUGCUCCCAUGGCUCAUAAGGCUGUACACCAGGUACCUCAACAGCACCAAGGACCGUUUGAAUCACAGGUUCAGUAGGUCCGUGUAUGUGCAGCUGUGAUGGUCUUUAAUGUCCCCCGGAUUGGAUUGGUAGGGGCAGUGCAGUGCUCCCUGAUGCCAUGUGGAAUGUUGAGAGGUGGUGUAAGGAGGUCCCAACAUUGAGUUGUCUACUGGCUGCAGAGGGAGGGGUGAUUUUAGCUAGUAACUCACUUCUGAGGGUAACAGCUGCUGCUGGCAUCCCGAUGCCACCUGGGCCGGUAUGCUGCUAGCCUAUGUACUACAAUGGUGCCUGUUGAAGUAAUCACUGAGUGGCAUGGAAGAGUGUUCUACUGCAGCAGAAGAAAUAAGGCAGCCCUCCCCAGAAACCUUUGGCAGAGGAUUGCAGAGUACCUUCAUCACAGUUUCAUCACUAUCUCUAUGGAGAAUUCACAGGACAUCCUGGAGAACAUAAAACAAACUGCUCUGCAUGGCCCCCUCUGUCUAACUCUGGAGGGGGAUGAGAAGCAGAUACCACCACCACGUCUCUUGGUUGUUUCACUA